GUCCUAGCCCUAAACGAUGAUUGCUUGGUGUAGCAGGUACCCAAUCCUGCUGUGCCGCAGCUAACGCGAUAAGCAAUCCGCCUGGGGAGUACGGUCGCAAGGCUGAAACUCAAAGGAAUUUUACGGGGGCCCGCACAAGCGGUGGAGCAUGUGGUUCAAUUCGACGCAACGCGAAGAACCUUACCUGGGCUCGAAGCGCAGUGGACCGGGGUGGAAACAUCCCUUCCCUUAAAGGCUGCUGCGGAGGUGCUGCAUGGCUGUCGU
rnacentral:rRNA from 1 species